UUCUCUCUUGACCCUCUGAGGUCUAAGGGCAUUUUUAGAUAUCUUCUUGAAUUCUACUUUUUAGGGUAUUUGCAUAUAACCUGAUCAACAUGUGUUUCAUAUCAAAAUGUUCUGAACAAAGUCAG